GGUUAAGCUACUAAGAGCGCACGGAGGAUGCCUAGGCACUAGGAGCCGAAGAAGGACGUGGCGAACAACGAAAUUGCCUCGGGGAGUCGUAAGCAGGCUUUGAUCCGGGGAUGUCCGAAUGGGGAAACCCGGCUGCGGUAAUGCGCAGUCACUUCUUACUGAAUACAUAGGUAAGUAGAGGCAUACCAGGGGAACUGAAACAUCUAAGUACCCUGAGGAAGAGAAACAAUAGUGAUUCCGUCAGUAGCGGCGAGCGAACGCGGAUUAGCCCAAACCUACGGACUUGUCCGUAGGGGUUGUAGGACGUCUCACAUGGAGUUACAAAGGUGUUGGUUAGGCGAAGAGGUCUGGAAAGGCCCGCUAGAAAAGGUAAAGCCCUGUAACCAGAAGCCAGCACCCUCCGAGACGGAUCCUGAGUACGGCGGGACACGUGAAACCCCGUCGGAAUCCGGCAGGACCAUCUGCCAAGGCUAAAUACUCCCUAGUGACCGAUAGCGAAGCAGUACCGUGAGGGAAAGGUG
rnacentral:ncRNA from 1 species